CAAAUUUAGCUAGUUUCUUUAAAAAAUUACAAAAAUAUAAUAUUGACAUUAACUAGCACCAUAAUCGACUAUUAAUUAUUUACGUUUUGCCAUAGAGAAUGACCACCACGUACAUAUCAAUAAUACUAGAGACACCAACUUAUUGUACAAAUGUAAUUUUUUGUGUGUAAUUUGUUGUCAAUAAAUAAAGUUCAUAGCGAGCUUAGAAUAACGACAAAUGAAACGUUACAUCACGUAACAACAGUUUAUGUCCCAAAGUUAGUGUAAUAAGUUGAUGUCUCUCGGAAUACAAGACUUCUAUACCAAGUUUGUGAACAUAAACUUUCCCAAGAAUGUGGAUUUAUUUAUAAGAUCCAGCGGAGGCUGCACUAUUUUCUGGUGUGAUAAAGAAAACAGUCAGCACCCGUGUUAACAAGAAUGGUUUCAUGGACUUUUCUCACGGACCUGGAGACUGGCUGCUCUUUC
rnacentral:lncRNA from 1 species